rnacentral:lncRNA from 1 species
AUAAUUAUAUAGAGAAGAACCAAAUAAUGUGAUAAAUGAGGUAUAGUACAAAUACAUAUUGAAAUUCAUAUUAUAGAGCAUAAAUUUUAAAUAUGUCUUUGAAAUAUCAUUUGCUUUCUAGUAUUUUUGCUUUCUUUUGAAUGUACAUUUAGAAUAGAACCCAAUGCCCCAUGUAUUAGAGGCAAGUAUUUUGUCAAUAAUUACAUCUCUGGAGGCUGGAGUGAAGGCUCAGCAGUUACGAACACUCAUUGCUCUUCUAGAGGAUACAAGUUCUGUUCCCAAUUACCAUAUUACCAUAUCAGACAGCUCACCAACAUUUUAGCUCUAUCUCCAGGGGAUCUAUCUCCAAUUUUGUGACCCCUACAGGGACCACAGUUACAUCUACAUGUGUGUGUGCACACACGUGUGCAUGCACACACACGCACACACACACACAAAUCAAACAUAGUAAACAUAAUCGUGCUCUGUAUUUCCAGCCCAGUAUGAAUGGUUUAAAGCAGAGUCGAUGCACUUAUUUUAUUAAAACUUCAUCACUAUUUGUGGAAAGCAACAUAUUCCAAACUUUUAGAAAUAAAUGCCAUUUUAUCAUUGUUCAUAGUCAGUGUGCUAUGUGAUACCACUCUAAAAUGUGUCUUAAGGAAAAUGAAAAAUGCAAAUUCUACAUUCACAAUUUCCAGAAAAAAAAUAGUCAACAAGAUAUCCAAAAUUACAUAAUAUAAAUAUAGAACUAAUCAGAUAUAUUCUGAUAAAAAUCAGAUAUAAAUACUGGAAAAUGACAGAAAUAAAUUUACCAAUUAGAGAUGCAUACAAAAAUAAACUGAAAUAAAAGUAAAUAUAGGUUGCAAUACUAAAUGAAAGAAGGCAGUAAAGAUGACAAAAUGAAUCAGACUAUCAUAAAGUAUAAUAAUAAAAAUUGAAAAGCAGGAAAGAGAAUAAAGUAAGAUAAGAUGAAAGAUCUAGAGACAUAGAAAGAAAUAAAAAUCGUUAUGUUGCUUCUACAAGAUCUUUGCAAAGAGGCCACAGAUGGUCGGCUGAUUGGAAGCAUCAUUAUUAUAUUAUUCUUAAAAAUAAUGUAGACAUAAUAGCACUUUCACAAAAUGAAUGAUCGUAUAAAAUGUGAAAUUACUAUCAGUGUAUAUUUUUAAAUAAAAAUGUCAAACAAAAUAAUUCACAUUCCAAGUAACAUAUCAUUUCCAAAUUUAAACG